UACAAGAACCACCACAGGCACACAGACUGCUUAUAAGAAUAGAUCAUUCUCAUCAUCUCCAGGAAACUGCCCCAGUCACCACGAAGCGUGAAUCACAGGAGAGAAAACACCUGCACACGCUGCAAGAGACAGAACCACAAACAAGGCGCAGAGCCUGAUCACAUCUAGGCACACCUCUGCUGCCUCACAACACAUACUGAGGUUUAGCUAAAAAUCACAGGCAGGUCCGUGAAAGGGCAGAAGCACGCCAUGGCGAUCAAGACUUACACACCCUGCACCUCGCAUUAGCUCAAGAGAGCCGCCGUUCAAACUCACGACUCCCGGCUCCCGGCUCUGGCUAGCCGGAGGGUUACAGGUGUAACCGAAGGCUGUGGUGCCAAAACAGCGAAUGGGCAUGCGGUUAAAACCGCCCAUUGCGAUACAGUCCCUGUGAGCUUCUGCUGUGGCGACCUAUCUCUGAUCUGUAGGAUCUGGCGUGCCCAGGGAAUAUCGUUUCUAGGUGCCAUCUUCCACAGGAUGGCACUUCGCACACGAUUGAAGCGCUUGGACUGGCAGGGGGAUUACGGGAAACAGCAACAAAGAUGCGGGCGACUUCAGACACGGCCCGCCCCUCCGGAUUUCCAUUGGCUGGGCCGGCCAGGCCGGGACGCUCUUGUACUUCCUCCGCCCGGGGGAAGCGCACGGAGGUCCGGGAUCGGUCCGCGACACUGACCCCUGCAGAGGUGCGCUGUGGCCCCGCUCGCUUGGCUUUUCCCGGCCCAGGCUGCCGCCGCUCCCUUGUAGGCACCCGGCCGCCGAGUAACCGACGCAUCACAACAGAUUACGGCUUUGACUGACGGCGCUCUGCGCUUUUUCGCUUUUGACCUGUUCGCCUUUCUCUUUUCAACAAGUUUCUAAUGUCCAAGGUUACAAAGUACAAGGUUACGUAAAUCUAAAAACAAAAAUACAAAAUGUGUACACACCCUUUUCAGGCGAUUUUACCUUCAGUCUGUUUUUUGCUCAUUCCCAAGAAAAAAACCCCGAUUAAUCUCUCCCCCCUCCCCCCAAAAAGAAGAAAAUUCCAUCUUUUGAGAAUUAAAAAAAAAUCAGACAACUGGUGUAAUGUUUAAACAUAAUGUUUAUUGAAAGAAAUAGAAAAGUCCCAUCAAAGGCUAUAGCAGAAAGGCUUGAAGCUGUCACUUUAUAAUGAAACACGGAACAGACCUGAUUUGAACACAAUGGAAGGAGGUGAUUAAGUGAGGUAAAAGCAGUUGGAAAUGAUGGCUUCUCCGUCCGUCUUCUCUUCAGGGCAAAAAGGUGAC